UAGAAAAGGCUUUGUGGAAGGAAAUGGAGAACCCACCUCCGCCACCAGGACCUUCAGGGCUGCCUCCCGGAAAGGGAGAAGGAGAAGGCAGCAGCUCCUCCAGCAAUCAGAGGCAGCCAGUGCUGGAUCUAUUUGGCGGAGAUAUGAUGCCUGCAGCAAUCGUUCUCGUCCUGUUGCUCCUCAAUCUCAUGAGCGGUGCGCCAUCUUUGGAGGGUCAGACCUUGGUCCUUGUUCAACGGAGCAAUAGAGCUAAAUACAGCUGAAGGCUCCUUUGUGGCAGAAUGCAAACAGACAGCUGAGUGUUUCUGUGUGUGUGCAGCAUCAAUGCAGCGGUGCACCUGCUGACUGGUGGUUGUCCAAGCAUCCCCCGCAGCUUGCAACUGGAACAUGUAUAGAUUGAACAAUUCACAGAACGGCAAGUGCCAGAAUGAAACGAACCGUGGGAGCUACAGAUAUGCAAAUGUACAUAAGUUAAGAACACUUCUGUGCCUUGACAAAUUUAUCGCCCCACCAAUUGACAAGCUCAUGUGGCCUGCUGUGAAUUCACCCAUGGUAGGAGGGUAGUACGUCAGAAGGCAGAAUGCUUUGGUCUAAUUUUGGACGCAUGCGGGGUCAAUCGGGGACCUGUCUCCUGAACAACGAAUGAUAAGCAUUGCAUCCAUUUGAUGCUGUCCAAGGAGCUUAUUUUGAAUUGGGCUUCCAAUGUCUGCAGCUGCCAGCACCGUGGAGCGCAGUGGGUAAAAAUAAGGCAGAGAUUUCCGAGAGUCUCUAGAAACGUCCGAGGGUUGCUAGAUCAGCAAUAGAUUGCGUCGGUCUGCGAAAGAAUGACCAGGAUACUGUAGAGUAAAAUAUGCACGCAAUCCUGCGUACUCUAGUGCGCUGUGCGCAGGUCAUGUGCAGGUGCACCUGCCGGAGGUUCCAGCAACUUGCCAUUGCAAAUUGCAAGCUUGACUUUGAAAUUUCAUCCAUGAAACUUAGUUACUCACGUUCAUUGCAGGUGCUGCCGUGUUUGCUUGCAACUGCAUCCAACGAGUCAUGCUUUUACUUCCAUGCAUAUAGUGGAUCCCGGUAUAGCGAUUUAUGCAUCGAGGUGAUGAUAA
rnacentral:lncRNA from 1 species